rnacentral:pre_miRNA from 1 species
AGCUUUUCGAAUCCGUGCUGAGAUUUCGUCAGACAUCAAUCCAUUAGGGCUGAUCGAACUUCCAAGAUAAGUGAGACU